rnacentral:rRNA from 1 species
GACGAGCGCUGGCGGCGUGCUUAACACAUGCAAGUCGAGCGAGGCCCCUCCUUCGGGAGGGUGUCCUAGCGGCGAACGGGUGAGUAACACGUGGGCAACCUGCCCCCGGCUCUGGGAUAACUCCAAGAAAUUGGGGCUAAUACCGGAUAUGACCGCUGACCGCAUGGUCUGGUGGUGGAAAGAUUUAUCGGCUGGGGAUGGGCCCGCGGCCUAUCAGCUUGUUGGUGGGGUAGUGGCCUACCAAGGCGACGACGGGUAGCCGGCCUGGGAGGGUGACCGGGCAGACUGGGACUGAGACACGGCCCAGACUCCUACGGGAGGCNGCAGUGGGGAAUAUUNGGCAAUGGGCGGAAGCCUGACGCAGCGACGCCGCGUGGGGGAUGACGGCCUUCGGGUUGUAAACCUCUUUCAGCAGGGACGNAGCGAAAGUGACGGUACCUGCAGAAGAAGCACCGGCCAACUACGUGCCAGCAGCCGCGGUAA